rnacentral:rRNA from 1 species
GAUGAACGCUGGCGGCGUGCCUAAUACAUGCAAGUUGAGCGAACAAAUUAGGUGCUUGCUCCCCUGUGAUUAGCGGCGAACGGGUGAGUAACGCGUGGUUAACCUACCUUUAAGCGGGGGACAACUUCGGGAAGCGGAUGCUAAUACCGCAUAAUAUAUUUAACCGUAUGUUUCAAUAUUGAAAGAUGCUUUUGCUUCACUUAAUAGUUGUCCCGCGUUGUCUUAGCUAGUUGGUUAGGUAAAGGCUUACCAAGGCCAAGAUUCGUAGCCACCCCGAGAGGGUGAUCGGCAAAAUUGGAACUGGGACACGGCCCAGACUCCUACGGGAGGAGCAAGUAGGGAAUCUUCGGCAAGGGGGGAAAGCCUGACGGAGCAACGCCGCGUGAGUGAUGAAGGUCUUCGGAUCGUAAAACUCUGUUAUUAGGGAAGAACAAAUGUGUAAGUAACUAUGCACGUCUUGACGGUACCUAAUCAGAAAGCCACGGCUAACUACGUG